rnacentral:misc_RNA from 1 species
AACUGAUACUACCUGCGGGAACCUGCGGAGGGAUCAUUACCGAGUGCGGGCCCUCUGGGUCCAACCUCCCAUCCGUGUCUCUUGUACCCUGUUGCUUCGGCGGGCCCGCCUUCAUGGCCGCCGGGGGGCUUCUGCCCCCGGGCCCGCGCCCGCCGGAGACUCCAACAUUGAACACUGUCUGAAGGUUGCAGCCUGAGUUUUCAUAUAAGAAAAAUCGUUAAAACUUUCAACAAUGGAUCU